UAAUUAGGUCCGCUUAAAUUAACCUUCAGAUUUCCCUAGGAUGAUUGAAUUGGAUGAAUAUGCAUCGCAAACAAAUUAUUCCUAACAAGUUCUCUAUAUGAACAACAUGAUAAAGACACAAGUUAGAAUCAUUACGUUCUUUGGAAAUCAUAAGCAUCGAUAAGGCAUUUGUAACUAUGAAAAGCAUGAUACUUUUGCCAGGAAUCUACUUAACACGAUCGUGACUAGCGACCUUCACUACUUGCGAAUAUAAAUUCAUAACGAUUAGGUGAAACAAAUUUGUAUCCUAGCACCAAAUUCAAACAUGCAAAUCAAGCGUGCACUCUCAAUCAACAUGCAAGAAUAAGUUCUAAAUCCAACGGUUAAGCAAAUUGUAUUCACAACUUAUGCAACGAUAAUUGGAAGUAAUCAACUUAUUUCACAUAUAUAAUCAUGGUUUUGAAUACACCCUUAGCCAAAACAAAAUUAGCCAA
rnacentral:lncRNA from 1 species